UGGGGAAUUUUCCGCAAUGGGCGAAAGCCUGACGGAGUGACGCCGCGUGUGGGACGAAGGCCUUCGGGUCGUAAACCACUGUCAGUGGGAAAGACGGGUGUCGGCGCGAUAACCGCCGGCAUCUGACGGUACCUGCAGAGGAAGCCCCGGCCAACUCUGUGCCAGCAGCCGCGGUAAGACAGAGGGGGCAAGCGUUGCUCGGAAUUACUGGGCGUAAAGGGCGCGUAGGCGGGACGGAAAGUCGGUCGUGAAAUCCUCCGGCUCAACCGGAGAACGGCGAUCGAUACUUCCGUUCUUGAGGGUUGCAGAGGAGACUGGAAUUCCCGGUGUAGCGGUGAAAUGUGUAGAGAUCGGGAGGAACACCGGUGGCGAAGGCGGGUCUCUGGGCAACUCCUGACGCUGAGGCGCGAAAGCGUGGGGAGCAAACGGGAUUAGAUACCCCGGUAGUCCACGCUGUAAACGAUGAGCACUAGGUGUGGGAGGGUUCAGUCCCUUCCGUGCCGCAGCUAACGCAUUAAGUGCUCCGCCUGGGGAGUACGGCCGCAAGGUUGA
rnacentral:rRNA from 1 species